GUUUGCUCCCUGGCUUCAAUCCCACAUUGGUGGGGAAUGAGGGAAGAGCAAAGGCCAAGGCCUAUAAAAGGAGGGUUAACCUCCUUGAUUAAGUGCACCAAGUUAUAAGCUUAGCUAGUAACUUGUGACUCUAGUAAAAUUCAUCUGUUGUCCUUUUGUAAGAAGAGGAAGAGGUGAGAGUCAAAGUUUUGCAAGUAGGGAAGCUUUGUGGGUGUCCUUGGGGUGAGGA